UACGGAGGGUGCAAGCGUUAAUCGGAAUUACUGGGCGUAAAGCGUGCGCAGGCGGUUUGUUAAGUCCGCUGUGAAAUCCCCGAGCUCAACUUGGGAAUUGCAGUGGAUACUGGCAAGCUGGAGUACGGUAGAGGAAGGUGGAAUUCCCGGUGUAGCAGUGAAAUGCGUAGAGAUCGGGAGGAACACCGGUGGCGAAGGCGGGUCUCUGGGCAGUAACUGACGCUGAGGAGCGAAAGCGUGGGGAGCGAACAGG
rnacentral:rRNA from 1 species